CAGCAGCCGCGGUAAUACGUAGGGUGCAAGCGUUAAUCGGAAUUACUGGGCGUAAAGCGUGCGCAGGCGGUUAUAUAAGACAGAUGUGAAAUCCCCGGGCUCAACCUGGGAACUGCAUUUGUGACUGUAUAGCUAGAGUACGGCAGAGGGGGAUGGAAUUCCGCGUGUAGCAGUGAAAUGCGUAGAUAUGCGGAGGAACACCGAUGGCGAAGGCAAUCCCCUGGGCCUGUACUGACGCUCAUGCACGAAAGCGUGGGGAGCAAACAGGAUUAGAGACCCCGUGUAGUCCCUGUCUCUUAUA
rnacentral:rRNA from 1 species